rnacentral:rRNA from 1 species
UACAGAGGCCUCGAGCGUUAGGCGGAAUCACUGGGCUUAAAGCGUGUGUAGGCGGACGUCUAAGUACCUUGUGAAAUCCCACGGCUCACCCGUGGAACGGCUGGGUAUAUUGGUCGUCUUGAGCCUUCUAGGGGCUACCGGAACAAAUGGUGGAGCGGUGAAAUGCGUAGAUAUCAUUUGGAACGCCAAUGGUGAAAACAGGUAGCUGGGGAAGUGCUGACGCUGAGACACGAAAGCCAGGGGAGCGAACGGG